UGCAUUAGUGGUUCUGUGAUUCUAUGAUUCCAUUUGAAGCUACAGAUUGACCAUGGCCAGAAACUCUCAUUCUGAGUUUCUCUGUAACCUCAGCAAGCUGUACAAAAUAUAUACACAUACAUAGGGAUACAUACAAAAAAUCUUUUUUUAUAUAUAAAUAAUGCCUGUUCUGUUGCACAGUGUGCACUCUGUCAGUGUUCCACUGGACGUUCUUUAUGCAUGGGACGUGGGAUGGGCAGAGCAGCAGCAGGGAGGUGUUUGCUUCUCAGACAAUUCCUCCACCCCUCAUCAGGACUUGCUGCUCAUUUCCCCCCUGUCAGUACCUCCUGCUCAGCACUGAAUUGGGUCUUUAGAAACAUACCAAGCCUGAGUGGGGGCCCUGCGAAAUAAGGAGAUGCAGACAUCCCUCCUUCCCAUAGAUGAAUCAACAUCCAUCCAUCCAUAGGUGAUGAAGCAGAAUUGCAUUUAGCUCUGUUCAGAUGUCUUGGAGGUGAGUUUGAAGCCGCCUGUGGCAGGGGUGAGCCCCAGGGGGUGAUCCCAGCCCGAAGCCUUGGGACAAGAGCAGGCAUGCAAACAGGAUGCUGAGGGCUUAUCCUAAACGCAUGGAAGUUACAAAACACUUUCUGACUUUCAAGAGUGAUUCAUGGUAUUUACUAUUUUGGGCAGAUCUUUUUGAUGUCAUCAGCAUGGUUCUGCAACAGAUUCUACUCCCCAAACCUUUGGCCAGAUGUUGAAACACCAAACACAUCUGAUCCAUGAUCUCCUUUGCCUCCUCUCUCCCUGAACAUGAUGUUAACUUCUCUCUGGUUUCAGACAGUGGAAGCGCUCAGCAAUUGGGAUGAGUGCCAACUCAGCAUGCUGCUGGCAGCUGCGCUGUGGGAUGCUGCUGGUGCUCUGCUGCCUGCAGGCACUGCUCACUGCUGGGUGCUUCUUGCAGGCACUGCACCAGCCUGGCCUGAGCACCGUGUUCAGCAUCACCACAAAGCACAGCCCUCACGGCUGACAUCGGAUUAAAUCAGAGACAAGGUAACAGUCAGGUUUAGCUGGAUCUAAUGUAAAGUUUUAGCACAAUAUGGAUGAAAAACACUGGAACUGGACAGUAAAUGUGUCCCGGCCAUGUGGCACCGAGGCCUCACACCAGGAGAGCUGUGGAGUGUGUGGGAGGAGCCAGUGCUGAUCCCAAAUGCAUCCCUGUGGUGCCGCUGUCCUGAUGUACUCAUUGGGAACAUAGUCCAAUGGCAGCGUUCAUAAUGGAGUACCCCUUUGCAGGGCUGUACAAACACAUGGUUCCCACCACGAGCUCCCAGCAGCAGCGCAUGGCACAGCCUCAUUAGCCGCUGCCCCUGCUCCCUGCACCGCCACAGGCAGCGUUCGGGCCAGAGGCAGCACGGGGCGGCCGGCAGCACCAGGGUUAUGGUGCUGCCAAACAUGCCAGUGCCCAUAGGAGAGGAGGCACAGUGCACACAGAUGUGUUUGCAUAGCAGAGGAGGAAUGGGAACAUCUCCAUUAUUAGGGAGGAUUGUUUCCCAACACAGCCUUCCUGCAGCUCAGCAACCCCCCCCGUGCAGCAGGCAGACAUCACUGGCACUUCCCAGCGACACACCUCCCAGUUGGGAGCGUGUUCCCGUCAGGCCGGUUUCAGGCUCUCCCCACUUUCCAUCACCCCACCCUGACGCUGCAGUUGAUAGCACUGCACAUGCGCUAACCAGGGCCUCUCUCUGCGCCGUCACUCUGCUCGGGAGUGUCCAAGAAUUCCCCGCGUGACUCAGGUGUGACCUCCCCGCUGGGAGCCAGGCUCUGCCACCCCUGAGCUGUGAUUUUCCAUUUCCCCUCUGUGUGGUGUAGCACUGUGACCCCUCCUGCCCUGGCAGCGCAGUGUGCUCUCCACGGCCCCAGCCCGCGUGGCUGUGCAGGGCAGUGUUCCUGCAGCAGCACCCCUGAGUGAGAUCUGCAAGCACCCUAGUGUUCCUGCCCAGGGAGGCAGAAAACGUGGAAGAGAAACCUUGAAGGCCACAACACUUGCAUGCUGCAGCCCUGGGGCCCUGCUGGAAGGGACUCUGCAUCUCUUUGAGGUCCCACGCGUGAGAGGGGUGAAACAAAGCUCGGAAUAUUGCAGCUCAGAGUGCCACUGAGCACACUGCACCAUCCCCACACACUGCACUGGGAGCACGCUGCUCCAUCCCUGCACAGUGAGGGUCCCACUGCUGCCAGGCGCUGCACAGUGUGCACUGUGCUCACGUGGGCCCUGGGAUCUGGGGUUUAUUUUUAGACUGUUGGUUCUCCUCCUGCUGCAGUCUCCCCUGGCUCAACCUGUUGGUGCACUGCUCUGACACCAGCGAUAGGCACAGAAAUCAUCGGUUACACAAACACAAACCCUGACACGGCAACAGCGGGGGAACGUGGCACGAAGGGAACUAUUUAUAGCAGAGAUAAUGAAGUAAAGGCUUCUGCUGAGCCGAUAGAAGCGGAAAAAAAGUGAAACAGAGCUCAGACAGAGCCCUGCAGCGCCGUCCUCACCCGGGCUGGGAGCUCCGGGCAUGGAGCAGCGCCGGCGCCCUGGUACCAGCGGGAACGGGGACGCUGCGGCCACAGGUGGCAGCGAUGUGCCUGGGAACCCCGCAGGUGGUGCGGCUGACUCGGAGAGACAUCAAAGCAGGAUCCUGCAGAAGAGAACUUCCUCAUCUGCACAGAGAAAAAGGAAAUCACUCACUUAGUGGAAAGGAUGCAGACAUACCAAAGGGAAACAUUUCCAUAUUCUUUUUAUAGCUCUGAAAAAGGACUUAAAAGAUUGCAUUCCCUAAAGUCUAUUUUCAUUGCAGAGGAAUGGAGCUUUGGGCCCUUCCGCACAGCCAACCUGUUCUCUGGCCCUAUCAAUAAGAACAUUGAUAGAAUGAAUGGAAAAUCAUUUUGUUGUUCACAAUAUUGUACCGUACUGUUCGAAAAGAGAGGAAGGGACCAGGAGGAAACAAAGGACAGGCAGAGAGCCCAGCACAAACAUCGGAGAUCUCCCGAGCACCCAGCCAGCUCUGCGUGUCCUGUGACCGAUCCCGAAGAGCUCCGGGUGGAGCACCAGGGCACAUCGCUCCACCACAGACACCCUACAGAACUUCGGCCAGAUGGAUCUCCAGAGGAAACCUCGAGUUAAUGACAUGAAUGACAAACAAUGUGCGCACAAUAGGUCUGCAUACAGAGCCAUCCUGCUCACACCUGCCGCUGGCUGUGUUGGCGCUCCGCUGCAGGGCCUUCCCACAGGCACCAGUGGGUUCUGCCAAGCACGCUGCGUGCCGGGGGCUGCCAGACAGGCUCCAGCUCUGAAGUCAGCACCAAGUAAAGCUCUCAUCACAGCUGCAGGGAAGACAAAAAGCCCCCGGGGCCUACCCAAGGAUGGGAGGAGUGAGGCCGAGCAAUUCCUUCACUUCACUACAUCUGUGAAGGAGCAGCGAGGGAGCCAGGGCUGCACGGGGCUUCUCACUGCCCCACUGGUGGUGGCAGAGCAGCGAAACCAUCAGACGUGGUUCCUUUUCCUGGGGCUAAGAACAAGCCUGUUGCCCAUGGGGUUUGCUGGAGAUUUUCCUACCCUCAGCUGUUAUCCAACACAGUUGAGAAGAUACAGCCUGUGGAACCGCUGGGCAGCUCAGAGACAUUCCUGCCCCUCGGUAGCGCAGGGCUCUGCGGACUGCCAGCCCCUGGGAAUGCCCACCCACGGACACGGGCUGCCCUGGGAGCAGCAGUGCCCCCCAGCACAGGUGCUGGGCCCCGCAGAGAUGCUCCCCUGGCUUUUGCUUCCCCACAGCCAGCACAUUCCCAGCCGCACUGCCACAGUCACGCCAGGAGCCCUGCAUGGCACUGAGGGGACAGCUCGCGUUGUAUGGCAUAUCUACUGGUGAUAGCUGCCAGUUGGCCUCACAGGGAGCACCGGGUGUCCACACAGAGCUGGCAGAGCCACACGGCCAUGGCUGCGCAUGGCCACAGACUGAUCAGUCACAGGUUUCCUUCUAUCCCAGCCAAGCUAUUUGUUUAAAUCUUCUGCAGAAGUGAAUUCCAGAGAGAUACAAUGCACUGGGGACAGAACAUUUACUGGUUCCAAAUGUACUGACCUUCCAGUCUGCACUUGGCUGCUUGAAAAGCACUGGUGUUAAUUAUUAUUAUUACUGCAUCAAAGGAAAAGCGCUCAAUUUUAACCAUUAGAUUUAACUAAGAAAGAAGAGUAACUCAAAACCUUGAAAAGUUGCAUGGAAUUCCAUUGUGAGCCUUUCAAAAAUUAGAAGAAAAAUCUGCUUAAGAACAUGUCAUCCUACCCGAGCGUGCUCUGAUCUUUUAGUUCAAUUGAUUUCUCCUUGGAAAUCAAUAGAUGUCUAAGAAAAAAUAUCAGCGUGCCACACAUGGAAUUAUAUUUUCAUCAUGUAAUGCAGAAACGUGAAUAAAAGCAUCUAUCAAGCCAAGUGGAAAAUUUUAA